rnacentral:snoRNA from 1 species
AAAUGCCAUUAGGUAUCUGAUGCUUAGCCUAGUAAUAGUGUGGCUGGGUAUCUCGUAAUUAUGGCGGAUAUUGAAGGGUAUAACAGGAAUUGCGACACUGGUCGCUCUUGUUCUAUGAGCUUCUUGUUACUUACUCCCUGUUUACAUCU